rnacentral:tRNA from 1 species
GGCGGCGUAGCCAAGAGGCUCAAGGCAAGAGUCUGCAAACCUCUAAGCAGUGCUUCGGGUCCACUCGCCGCCA